AACGAACGCUGGCGGCAGGCCUAAAACAUGCAAGUCGAACGAUGUAGCAAUACAUAGUGGCGCACGGGUGCGUAACGCGUGGGAACAUACCCUUAGGUGCGGAACAACGUCUGGAAACGGACGCUAAUACCGCAUAAUAUCUACGGAUCAAAGAUUUAUCGCCUAAGGAUUGGCCCGCGUUAGAUUAGCUAGUUGGUGAGGUAAUGGCUCACCAAGGCGACGAUCUAUAGCUGGUCUGAGAGGAUGAUCAGCCACACUGGGACUGGGACACGGCCCAGACUCCUACGGGAGGCAGCAGUUAGGAAUAUUGGACAAUGGGCGAAAGCCUGAUCCAGCCAUGCCGCGUGUGUGACGAAGGCCUUAGGGUUGUAAAGCACUUUCGUCUAUGAAGAUAAUGACAGUAGUAGAAGAAGAAGCUCCGGCUAAAUUCGUGCCAGCCGCCGCAGUAA
rnacentral:rRNA from 1 species